CUCAGCAGCCACAGCCUGAAGAACCCUCCUCUUAUCUGCUCUUUCAAACUGCUCACUCUGUGGAUUCUCCACGGAAAAUACAAGGUCUUCUAGUAGAAUGGGCCUUGCUUUUUCAGAUAUAGUUAUGAGGAAAGAAACAACUUUGAACCUGUGCCAGGGAGGAGGAAGCCAGGAAGAAAAUGAAGCCUAAAACCAACUCAGGCACCAAACCCAGCAUUUGUCUUUGACCUCUAGGAAUCAGUCCCGUCAGGAAGCCAUGAAAUGGGACAGAAUGCGGAAGCACCAUGAACCCAAAAGUGAGUUUCAAGAUCCACCUGGAGUUUUAAAGCCUUGGUGUUGCUGCCCACAGGAGGAGCCCACAGGAGAUGGGCAGAGGAAAACCAGCCCAGGGAAUCCUUCUGCAAAUAACCCAACAGAUCACACUGGCAGUUGCUCCUGGAUACUUCCUUAUUCCUGAUAUCUGCAAACUCUGGGUCUAGAGUACCUUUAUUGCUGCCCCCACUUUUAGGAACAGUGUAGUCCAUAAAUGUACUGGGCUCUUCUUUCUUCUGGGACUUCCUAUUGUUUCAUAUGCCUUAUUUUUGGCAUAUGAAACAACACAUAUAUAUAUAUAUCUAUAUAUAAAAUAUAUGUAUUAUAUAUAAUAUAUAAUAUAUAUAACCCACACAUAUACAUAUAUAUGCCAGAAAUAAAGCAUGUAUACUUGUUUUGUAUGCCA
rnacentral:lncRNA from 1 species